GACGAACGCUGGCGGCGUGCUUAGCACAUGCAAGUCGAACGGAAAGGCCCUGCUUUUGUGGGGUUCUCGAGUGGCGAACGGGUGAGUAACACGUGAGUAACCUGCCCUUGACUUUGGGAUAUCUUCAGGAAACUGGGGCUAAUACCGGAUAGGAGCUCCUGCUGCAUGGUGGUGGUUGGAAAGUUCCGGCGGUUGGGGAUGGACUCGCGGCUUAUCAGCUUGUUGGUGGGGUAGUGGCUUACCAAGGCUUUGACGGGUAGCCGGCCUGAGAGGUUGACCGGCCACAAUGGGACUGAGAUACGGACCAGAAGCCUACGGGAGGCAGCAGUGGGGAACAUUGCACAAUGGGCGGGAGCCUGAUGCAGCAACGCCGCGUGCGGGAUGACGGCCUUCGGGUGGUAAACCGCUUUCGCCUGUGACGAAGCGUGAGUGACGGUAAUGGGUAAAGAAGCACCGGCUAACUACGUG
rnacentral:rRNA from 1 species